ACAUUACAUUAUAAAUGUGUUGGGUGAAGAUGAUAAUACAUAUAGCAAUAGCAUUGUUGUUCAUUGCAAUCAUCAAGUGGAUCCAUGUUAUGUUAGUAUCAUUCCUGUUAAUGUUAUUGGAUAUGGACCAUCAACUACUAUUAAUGUUGGCAUAACUCCUACCAUGACCAGUAGUUCAGUUACUAAUACUCCAUCAUCAGUUACAUUAACUAUUAAUAUAAGCACUAAUACAUCAGUAAUAUAUAUGCCAUCUACUUCAAG